AGUAGAAUGGCUGAGAAUUAGGCUGUGGAUUGUAAAUCUAUAUAGGGGUUAAAUGAUAAUUCUUCUACUA
rnacentral:tRNA from 1 species